UAACUCCAACCCCUGUGACAUACCACUUGUUGCCUCGGCGGAUCAGCCCGCUCCCGGUAAAACGGGACGGCCCGCCAGAGGACCCCUAAACUCUGUUUCUAUAUGUAACUUCUGAGUAAAACCAUAAAUAAAUCAAAACUUUCAACAACGGAUCUCUUGGUUCUGGCAUCGAUGAAGAACGCAGCAAAAUGCGAUAAGUAAUGUGAAUUGCAGAAUUCAGUGAAUCAUCGAAUCUUUGAACGCACAUUGCGCCCGCCAGUAUUCUGGCGGGCAUGCCUGUUCGAGCGUCAUUUCAACCCUCAAGCACAGCUUGGUGUUGGGACUCGCGUUAAUUCGCGUUCCCCAAAUUGAUUGGCGGUCACGUCGAGCUUCCAUAGCGUAGUAGUAAAACCCUCGUUACUGGUAAUCGUCGCGGCCACGCCGUUAAACCCCAACUUCUGAAUGUUGACCUCGGAUCAGGUAGGAAUACCCGCUGAACUUAAGCAUAUCAAAAGGCCGGGAGGAA
rnacentral:rRNA from 1 species